CUUCUUUCAGAUAGGAACUGUGUGAUAAUAAUUACAAGAAUUUGUCACGAUCUAAUUUAUUGGCCAAAAAAGAAAAGGUAUUUUAGACCCUUGAAAAUACCUCUGAAAUCUUAUUUGACAUACAUGUUUUAUCUCACCUCACCCAGAUGCUCACUUAUUCUAAUUCACGAAUUGCCAAGCCCCUAGCUUCCCGCUCUCACAAAGGCUCCAGUCACUGACAGUACCUGCACUCUCCCACUCAGUCGGCUAUUUGCGAUCCUUCCAUAAACUAUAUUUUCUUUACAGGUAUUUGUAAUGCUUUACCAAAUGCUUUUAUCAAAAGAAUUUUAAAAGGCAUAAUAAAUUAUAUUAAAAACCAAAAUUUUCCUGAGAGUAAGAACAUUUCAUCCAAUAAAAUAUUUUUGAAAAGCAUGUUCCUCUGUCAGUGAGAAAAAAAAAGGUGUAAUAUGUUUAUGUUGUGGUAUUAAAAAUGACAUUUGUCUCAUAACCUAAUAUAAUGUGUAGCUGAGUUUAACAUGUGUGGUCUUAGCAUUUUUAAAGGAACUCCCACAUUAUACGCUUGAUGUAUUAACCAGAAUAUGUACAAUAUGCUUAUAAAUCUGAAGAAUAAAUGGUUCCUCAGUAAGUCAAAAAGAAAAUAGAAGCUUAUGUUUCCAACAAAAACAGGAUCUCCUUCUCUUAUUAUAUUUCCUAAGUGAACUGUAAAAACUAAAAGGCGAAGGUUUACAUUAAGUUCAAUGGGCUUUCUUAAAGACAAUUUAAGAAUCUACNNNNNNNNNNNNNUUUCACCUUGCUUUAUAGGCCAGUCUUUCACUUUUUUUUUUUUUUUUUUGGUGACAACACACAAAGUUGUGUGACUGAGCAUUAACUGAAGUGCUGAGGAAAAAAAAAAAACCUACAGGGACAGCAUGUGAGAGCAGUCAUUUGCAACAGUCUACUAAUGGUGACUUUGUUUAUCGGCCGGAUUACAGCAAUUCAGCAUUAAAUUCUUCCCAGGGGCCCCUUGCCAGAAGCCCCCCAAUUUCUAAUUCUGACUUCCUAUUCUCAGCCCAUUUUCUCUCCUGCUCCAAACCCUUAUUCCAGGAUUUUCCACCCACCAUUUCAGAAUGUGACGCCUUCCUAUGCAGAGGUUGGUUUCCCCCCAGACUCCAUUACCCCUCCGAAGUUAUAAAUACUCAGUAAAACCAAAACGAUUUCUCAAGAAUUCCAGAAGGACUGUUCAACUGGGUUUUGUUCUCCACAUCUAGCCAUCUUCAAAGUCUUUCCACCAGGGGGAUUAAAGAUAGUUUGAUUUCUUUGGAAUGUCUACUUAGUAAGUCCUGGAUUAACCAUGCGCAGGCUGCAAGUAUAAACACAAAUACACACACAUGUCCCAAGGACAGACAUUAAUUCCUAAAUAUAAAUUUAAACCCAGAAGAAGGAAGAGCAUUCCCUAACUGCCUGAUGAUAAUUUUGCAAGGCUAUAGCACUAAUACACAUGAUGGUGAUUAUUAUUCACGCUACUCUCUCUGCCCUGGUGACAGUGUACUUUUGUGGCCUAUGGAUGCUAAGCUUGAUCUGCUUUGGUCAUUGGCUGAAAUAUUAGCAGACAGGAGCUGAUCAAGGAUCUUAAAUCUUGCUUUUCAGUGCGUCAGUGCUAUGAGAAGAGCAUGUUUCUGGGAGCUACAGCCCCUUCUGCCUGUUUCCAGAACAAAUGUAUACGAGGCAAACUCACAUUCUGGAACUAAAUCCAGGCAACUCACAGUCUGAAGCAGAGCUGUCCAGAUGAGCGCAGCCUAAAUAAACUGAACUUGUCACCUUGACAACAGUCUCCGAGCAGUUGGUUACAGAGCCUUAGUGUAUCACAAAAUAAUGAAAAAAAUUUCCAUGUAUUCAUUCUGCUACCAAUUCUAUCCCUUUCAAACUGUGCCUUCCUGAGCCUAGAGUACAAAAAAAGAGCCAAUAUUAAGCCAUAAACCUCUUAAUACUGAUCCCAAGGAUAAGCAGAGACCCUGCCCAAGCUCUGAAAUUUUCAUCUUUAAAGAUCUGUCUUGGUUCAGCUCCUCCUAAAAGCAGAGCCUCAGACAAUGAAUGACUGGGUACAGGCAGUUUAUUUAGGAGGCAAACAAAAGCAGAGAGAAAAAAAUGACUCUCACAUACCUGCAAGGAGUCACACAAUGAAGCCACACUUAUCAUCAGCAUGAGACUUCCCAAAGACUAGAAUGGAUGCUUCAACUAACUGACAAUGACUUCGGUAGAAAGUAGCUCAGNNNNNNNNNNNNNNNNNNNNNNNNNNNNNNNNNNNNNNNNNNNNNNNNNNNNNNNNNNNNNNNNNNNNNNNNNNNNNNNNNNNNNNNNNNNNNNNNNNNGAAUGGAUGCUUCAACUAACUGACAAUGACUUCGGUAGAAAGUAGCUCAGAGCAGACAUCCAUGCUACCCUCUCUCCCUCAUCCAAUACUGUCACAGUCCAC
rnacentral:lncRNA from 1 species